UACGAAGGGGGCUAGCGUUGUUCGGAAUUACUGGGCGUAAAGCGCGCGCAGGCGGUCUUCCAAGUCAGUGGUGAAAGCCCCGGAGCUCAACUCCGGAACUGCCAUUGAAACUGUUGGACUUGAGUACGAGAGAGGUGAGUGGAAUUCCCAGUGUAGAGGUGAAAUUGUAGAUAUUCGGAGGAACACCAGUGGCGAGGCGGCUCACUGGCUCGGUACUGACGCUGAG
rnacentral:rRNA from 1 species